ACCCAAGAAUUAGAAUAUUGAAAAGUCCCCUUUCCUUCUUCUUUCUCUCCCGAUCUAUAUCACUCUUAUUCUUCGUUUUCUCUUCUUCCUCUCUUUUUUCUCUACACCUCUCACAAAAUCUGAUUUCGUUUAUCCAACCCUCUCACUAACCCUAGUAUGACGUCGUCAGAUCUGGAAUCUCCAGUGAAGAUCAAUACGCCGCCGAUAAGCCUCCAAGGAAGAAACGUCAUCACUGACACACUCCUCAACAGAUCUAAGAGCUCCAAUCGUAAUCUCCUCUAUUUCUUUUCGAUCUAGUUAAUACCUAUUCAGAUAUGAGUGUUUUUUGGGUUGGGGAUUUCAGGUUGAGUGGUUGAGAUGGAGGGUUCGUUUUUUCAUUCCAAAUUCGGUGAAGCUCUUCUCAGGUGGUGUGAGUGAAUCUGGACCUUUUCUCUCUUAUUUCGAUUUCCCUUUUCUCUUACUCUCUUGUCCUCUCCUCCCUUUUGUUGUUGUUUGUUUGUUGCAUGUUCGAUUAUUGCAGUGGAUUUGCGAUAAGUUGAAAAGAUUCUUUCAAAAUACUCGAUUCCACUAAAUGCAGCAUCUGCUAUGAACGAGGAAAAUUUCAUAUACAUGCUCUUGUACCUCCACAACGGUUCACCUCUUAGCGAAUUUAAAUUUUUAAUUUCUAUCCUCAUUGUCCGUAUGUACAAGAAAAGGUUUGUUGUGUCGCAAGUGAAAACAAUUUUUCAAAGAUUAGAGGUACCAGAGUGAAGAGUUCAAGUUUAAAUACAAGAUUUGUAGUAGCUUAUGCUCAGUGCCAGCAGCAAAGGGAUUGUUUUCUUUUCUAAGAGACUCAGAUGUAUAAACCCUUGUUCAAACGAGAUUUUAUACAAGAUAUAGGUCUUUUGUAUCACUGUUUCAUAUAAAUCUAUUAUAAUAAAAGUAAGAUCUUCUCUUUUA